AAAUUUAACAUUUUGCUCAACUUGUCAUAAGAUUAAUGAAAAAAGACUCUGGUUGUGCCAUUUUGAUAGAAAAAAAAACAGAUUUGAUGUAUUCACUACUUUUAUUGACAGUGUACCACAUUUGCAAAGCAACAGGAAGUACAUUUGUAACCAAAUCGAUCGAGGAGUCGGCUGUAGGUCCCCCCUCGCCCGACUGGGAGUCACUCAACUUCUGGCUGGUCACUAAUGUGCUACAUCGAGGAUCCCAAUGCAAGCAACUCAGUGACUAUUACUGCCUCGAUGCUUAUAUAACGCAACAGCCUCAGGGUCAGCCGAAAAACCAAGUAAUUGAUCUGGGCGAAAGAGAAUAUGCGAUCAUGUUUCCUUUUGAAAAAAUCCUCGCAAUGCAAUGGCGACACAUCAACAUGCUCGACAUAUAUA